rnacentral:rRNA from 1 species
GCAGGCUGCAACUCGCCUGCAUGAAGCUGGAAUUGCUAGUAAUCGCGGAUCAGCAUGCCGCGGUGAAUACGUUCCCGGGCCUUGUACACACCGCCCGUCACACCAUGAGAGUCGGGAACACCCGAAGUCCGUAGUCUAACCGCAAGGAGGGCGCGGCCGAAGGUGGGUCCGGUAAUUGGGGUGAAGUCGUAACAAGGUAUC